rnacentral:ncRNA from 2 species
GGCGACGAGCGCGGGAGCCCGGUGCGACCGGGCUGAGAGGGCGGCUGAACGGGCCGCCGACCGCCAGGACCUGAUCCGGAUCAUGCCGGCGAAGGGAGCAUGCCGAUGCCGACC